GCAAGUCGAACGAAGCUUUUCGGAGCUUAGUGGCGGACGGGUGAGUAACGCGUGAGAAUCUACCUAGAGGACGGGGACAACAGUUGGAAACGACUGCUAAAACCGGAUGUGCCGAGAGGUGAAAUAUUAAUAGCCUUUAGAGGAGCUCGCGUCUGAUUAGCUAGUUGGUAGUGUAAAAGACUACCAAGGCAACGAUCAGUAGCUGGUCUGAGAGGAUGGAC
rnacentral:rRNA from 1 species